CGCCAGAGAAGGUAGUUGGUGAAAUUGAGAGCUUCAUUGACAUAAUUUUUAAUAUUAGAAACUCCAAAAGAUGGAUGGAGAGAAGAAUUGGAAACAGCAGGUUGGGUGGAAGACUCGGCAGGAUGAGAAGGGGAUGUUGUGUUGGAAGACAUGACGAAGACAACGAGAACAGGGAAAAAAAAAAUAGAAGAAAGGAAAGAGUUGAUACCUAAUAGGGCUCUGAUACCAUGUAAAUGGUUAUAGAAUAUUAGUCUCGAUGUAUAUUACUUCUAUAAUUAUAAGUAUUUAUAGAAUACAAAGGAUAAGACUCUAAGCUAUUCAGUUACAGAAGAGACUUAUCUACAAUAACUAAUCACAGCUGUAUUGUUAUCUAAUAAU
rnacentral:lncRNA from 1 species